rnacentral:misc_RNA from 1 species
GAUGAAGAACACAGCGAAAUGCGAUAAGUAAUGUGAAUUGCAGAAUUCAGUGAAUCAUCGAAUCUUUGAACGCACAUUGCGCCCCCUGGUAUUCCGGGGGGCAUGCCUGUUCGAGCGUCAUUUCACCACUCAAGCCUCGCUUGGUAUUGGGCAACGCGGUCCGCCGCGUGCCUCAAAUCGACCGGCUGGGUCUUCUGUCCCCUAAGCGUUGUGGAAACUUUCGCUAAAGGGUGUUCGGGAGGCUACGCCGUAAAACAACCCCAUUUCUAAGGUUGACCUCGGAUCAGGUAGGGAUACCCGCUGAACUUAAGCAUAUCAAUAAGCGGAGG